rnacentral:rRNA from 1 species
GCGGAAGCUACUGCUAUUGGGAUUCGAUUAAGCCAUGCAAGUCGAAUGAAUUCAUAUUCAUGGCAUACGGCUCAGUAACACGUGGAUAACUUACCCUUAGGACUGGGAUAACUUUGGGAAACUGGGGAUAAUACCGGAUAUUAGGCUAUGCCUGGAAUGGUUUGCCUUUGAAACGUUUUUUUCGCCUAAGGAUAGAUUUGCGGCUGAUUAGGUCGUUGGUGGGGUAAUGGCCCACCAAGCCUAUGAUCGGUACGGGUUGUGAGAGCAAGAGCCCGGAGAUGGAACCUGAGACAAGGUUCCAGACCCUACGGGGUGCAGCAGGCGCGAAACCUCCACAAUGUACGAAAGUGCGAUGGGGGAAUCCCAAGUGUUAUUCUUAACAGAAUAGCUUUUCAUUAGUGUAAAAAGCUUUUAGAAUCAGA